GACGUAGGGCGCGAGCGUUGUCCGGAUUUAUUAGGCGUAAAGAGCGUGUAGGCGGCUUGGCAAGUCUGGUGUGAAAUCUUGCGGCUCAACCGCAAGCGGUCACUGGAAACUGCCUCGCUAGAGUCCGGAAGAGGAGAGCGGAAUUCCUGGUGUAGCGGUGGAAUGCGCAGAUAUCAGGAAGAACACCUAUGGCGAAGGCAGCACUCUGGGACGGUACUGACGCUGAGACGCGAAAGCGUGGGGAGCGAACAGG
rnacentral:rRNA from 1 species